UUCUGUUUAUGCAAGUCUUGUUUGGGAGAAGAUUCAUUAGCAGAAACCACAAAAGAUAAUUAUGGUUGUUUUGAGAUUGAGUUAGACUCCAGUUUAAACGACCCCUGUUUGGUUGAUGAUUCAUCAGCAGAACCCACAGAGGAUGAUGAAGAUUGUUUGAAAAAUCAGUUAGAGUUCAGUUUAAAGAACCCUUGUUUGGUAGAUGAUUCAUCAGCAGAUCCCACAGAG
rnacentral:lncRNA from 1 species